rnacentral:tRNA from 1 species
GGAGAGGUGUCCGAGAGGCCGAAGGAGUACGCUUGGAAAGCGUAUGAACCCUAACCGGGUUCCGGGGGUUCGAAUCCCCCCUUCUCCG